rnacentral:lncRNA from 1 species
AUGUUUGUAUCUAAUCCAUAGUAAGAACCUAUGUACAACCAAAAAGGCCUAUACUCAAUUUCACAGUUGAGUUUAAAAGCCUAACACAGGAGUAGCAAAGAAAAUGGACUGAAAGCAAAAAUUAACGGCCAUAAAAGUGUAGGCAUUCCCCAGUAAUCCGACUUGAAAUUACAAGAAGACAAAUAAAAUUGGAAAUGAAAUUACUUCAAAAGAUUAGACAAUCCGCAAAUUGCUACCACUCGAUAAUUUUGCAAAAGGUACAAUUCUAUUUCAUUUUCCUGCAAUAACAGCAAGUACAAUUAUGUGUCAGUUCUCUACACUAACCCAUACCUACUUCUUCAAUUCCUUCUUAUUUGUUUAUCCUAAACAAAAGGAACCUUAUGAUAUUUAAACCUUAAUUAUCAAUUAUAUCAAGUAUUUCAGAAAUACAUAAACAACGAAACUCCACUAACGAACUAAACAAAUGGCUCUUCAAUACAUUGUUAUAUAAUCACAACUUACUUUCCAAAUUGGACAAAAUGCAAUAAGCAAGAAUUGCAAUAUUCUAAGACUUCUUCGGGUGAAGCACACACCAAAUUCAGAAAUUUUCCAAUAAAAUUGGACAAAAUGAAAUAAGCAAUAAUUGAAUAUCACUACUUACCUUCCAAAAGCGCUUCACAGACUUCAUCAAUGGUAACAUUAAGCCCCCUCAACAAAAUUUAAAAAAAGAAAGAAAAAGAUUGUUAAUGUAAAUCUUGAAAGAACUGCCCAAAUGAACGAAGGAAAAUGUAGUUAUUGAGGAGGGAGCAAUGUUCUUAAUUGCUAAAAAAAUUGAAUACUUUCUCCAAAUGCAUUUAAUAAGAUACGUUAAAAACAAACAUAUAUUGAUCCAUGAAUAUAAGUGUACCAUCAGUGAAAAUAAAUUUUCAAUUGCUCAUGAAUAAUUAAAACCGACAUACGUUAAGAGCAACAUAUAAGAAGUAUACUUAUUGAAUUGCUCAUCUCCCCAGUAACUCUUCUACCACAAUUCUCAGCAUGCAAGUAUGAAUAAAGGUUGAUGGAAAUAUACACUUUCUGCAAAAUUGUAAACUGAGGAUAUCUGAGGUAAAGUAUGAGUAGCCAAAAUUGUAGGAAAGCUGAGAGAAAAUCGGUUACGGUUGUUCGGACAUGUGCAAAGAAGGCCUACUAACGCUCCGGUUAGAAGAUGUGACUACGGGACAGAGGUUCAGGGCCGAAGGGGUAGAUGAAGACCUAGGAAAACUUUGGAAGAGACUCUAAGAAAAGACUUAGAGUACUUGGAUCUAACGGAGGACAUGACACAGGACUGAGCACAAUGGCGUUCUAAGAUUCAUAUAGCCGACCUCACUCAGUGACUUGAAGUUUUCAAGUCUCCAACCGAGAAGUUUUCCUCACUCGGGAAAUUAAGGGAACACUACCUC